GACGAACGCUGGCGGCGUGCUUAACACAUGCAAGUCGAGCGGUAAGGCCCUUUCGGGGGUACACGAGCGGCGAACGGGUGAGUAACACGUGGGUGACCUGCCCUCAGCUCUGGGAUAAGCCCGGGAAACUGGGUCUAAUACCGGAUAUGACUCCAUGACGCAUGUUGUGGGGUGGAAAGCCUUGUGCGGCUGAGGAUGGGGCCCGCGGCCUAUCAGCUUGUUGGUGGGGUGAUGGCCUACCAAGGCGACGACGGGUAGCCGGCCUGAGAGGGCGACCGGCCACACUGGGACUGAGACACGGCCCAGACUCCUACGGGAGGCAGCAGUGGGGAAUCUUGCGCAAUGGGCGAAAGCCUGACGCAGCGACGCCGCGUGAGGGAUGACGGCCUGGUGUAAC
rnacentral:rRNA from 1 species